rnacentral:misc_RNA from 1 species
AUCGAAUUAAAGUGAUUUGAUUUGAUUUAUUUGGUUUGAAUCAUUAGCACUCUUAAAACCCUACCUAACUCAGGCCCAGAAAAAUAAAAGGCCCAUGGCCUCAACAUACAUAGCAAUCCUAGACCUAAAAACCAUCUGAAGGAUCUGACCCAAGACCUGGAAGACCCAGCAACAACGCCAACGGGUACACGUGAGACCUCUAGCCACCAACCAGGCCGCAAAUCAUUCAUCAAAGCACAAACGCUGGGAAUCUACACAAAACAGAUCCAGCCUUGAAGAACAAAUCCCAAAUGGAGAAACAUAUGCAUGUAAGCUUGGUAGCAGCCACUCCAGCCAGGAGAGCUAGGAGCCAUGAAGAAGCGGGACGAAUUCGGGAAUGGGCGUGGAAGAGCUUGGCAUCUUAGUCUCCUAUAGCCCGAACGGAAGAUAGAGAACACCUCCACAUCCUUGAGAGUGUCAGCCAAACGGGAUAACCCUAUAAGAGAGAACCACAACAACUACAACAUGCAGAUCUCAAACUCCCUCACUUGAUAAGCGCCAUCUACAUAAACACUGAAAACAAUCCACACCUAGAUCUGGGAGAAGGAGAGGGAGGAAACCUCCCUACGACUGGUAAAGAGGCUUCCCCAACCCUUCGUGGUUGGGGAUGACCACCGGUCACGCUAGACGAAAGUGGACUGAGAAACAGAGAUGGGUUUUCCUUGUUAAGUUGCUCGGUAGUGCGCAAAGGUACAACUUUUGUUGCAAUUAUAGUAAAAAUUUUCUUUUCCUGUGUACAUUUAUCCAAUGUUUCAGGUACUGUCUUAUAUAUUAUGGGAUUGGAUAUGGCCUACAGAACUUGCAGCCCGAUUGGUUUUGAUCAACCGUUAACUUGGGUUGUCCCAUUUUUCAUGAGGCCAGCUUGAAUAUAAUUUAAACUUUAAGCUCAAACUCAUUUUGAUGAGUCCCACUCCAAAAUAGAUUCAGUAUGCCCAGAGUCCGAAUUCUGUUUAGAGACAAAUGAACUGAAAAAUCUGUGAGAAACCCAUUGACAAAAUUGUAAUCGUAAUUUGGGUCUGCUAGCUGGAGUUGUACUGCUUCUAAAACAUUAUCAUUAUUGUACACAUUGUCUUUUUGAAUGAAAAAAAUAAAUUAAAAUAGCAUUUUUGCUCAUGGCCUGCAAUUGCAAAUAUGGAAGUUUAG